ACGAACGCUGGCGGCGUGCCUCAUCCAUGCAAGUCGAACGCUUCUUUCCUCCCGAGUGCUUGCACUCAAUUGGAAAGAGGAGUGGCGGACGGGUGAGUAACACGUGGGUAACCUACCCAUCAGAGGGGGAUAACACUUGGAAACAGGUGCUAAUACCGCAUAACAGUUUAUGCCGCAUGGCAUAAGAGUGAAGGGCGCUUUCGGGUGUCGCUGAUGGAUGGACCCGCGGUGCAUUAGCUAGUUGGUGAGGUAACGGCUCACCAAGGCCACGAUGCAUAGCCGACCUGAGAGGGUGAUCGGCCACACUGGGACUGAGACACGGCCCAGACUCCUACGGGAGGCAGCAGUAGGGAAUCUUCGGCAAUGGACGAAAGUCUGACCGAGCAACGCCGCGUGAGUGAAGAAGGUUUUCGGAUCGUAAAACUCUGUUGUUAGAGAAGAACAAGGACGUUAGUAACUGAACGUCCCCUGACGGUAUCUAACCAGAAAGCCACGGCUAACUACGUG
rnacentral:rRNA from 1 species